AUUGAACGCUGGCGGCAGGCCUAACACAUGCAAGUCGAACGGUAACAGGAAGAAGCUUGCUUCUUUGCUGAUGAGUGGCGGACGGGUGAGUAAUGUCUGGGAAACUGCCUGAUGGAGGGGGAUAACUACUGGAAACGGUAGCUAAUACCGCAUAACGUCGCAAGACCAAAGAGGGGGACCUUCGGGCCUCUUGCCAUCGGAUGUGUCCAGAUGGGAUUAGCUAGUAGGUGGGGUAACGGCUCACCUAGGCGACGAUCCCUAGCUGGUCUGAGAGGAUGACCAGCCACACUGGAACUGAGACACGGUCCAGACUCCUACGGGAGGCAGCAGUGGGGAAUAUUGCACAAUGGGCGAAAGCCUGAUGCAGCCAUGCCGCGUGUAUGAAGAAGGCCUUCGGGUUGUAAAGUACUUUUGGCGGGGAGGAAGGGAGUAAAGGUAAUACCUUUGCUCAUUGACGUUACCCGAAGAAGAAGCAACGGCUAACUCCGUG
rnacentral:rRNA from 1 species